rnacentral:sRNA from 1 species
ACGUACGGAGAGUACGUUCCGGUUCCUGUGCUCCGUCCGCCUGGCCUGGCACCCGCUCGCAACGCCUCCGGUGCUUGGCGUGCCAGCA